rnacentral:rRNA from 1 species
GACGAACGCUGGCGGCGUGCCUAAUACAUGCAAGUCGAGCGAAUGACGAGAAGCUUGCUUCUCUGAUUUAGCGGCGGACGGGUGAGUAACACGUGGGCAACCUGCCCUACAGAUCGGGAUAACUCAGGGAAACCUGGGCUAAUACCGGAUAAUCCUUCGAAUCACAUGUUUUGAAGUUGAAAGGCGCUUCGGCGUCACUGUAGGAUGGGCCCGCGGUGCAUUAGCUAGUUGGUGGGGUAACGGCGUACCAAGGCAACGAUGCAUAGCCGACCUGGGAGGGUGUUCGGCGACAUUGGGACUGAGACACGGCCCAAACUCCUCCGGGAGGCAGCAGUAGGGAAUCUUCCACAAUGGACGAAAGUCUGAUGGAGCAACGCCGCGUGAGUGAUGAAGGUUUUCGGAUCGUAAAACUCUGUUGUAAGGGAAGAACAAGUACGUUAGGAAAUGAACGUACCUUGACGGUACCUUAUUAGAAAGCCACGGCUAACUACGUGCCAGCAGCCGCCGCAG